AUUAGUGAUGCACUGAUUGUGGAUGAAUUUAUUAGGCAUCCUGAGGCUGAUGUGAAUGUUGCAGUUGCUUUUUACUUAAGUGAGAUUACCAGGAUUAGUGCACCAGAUGCUCCAUAUAAUGAUGAAAAGAUGAAGGUCAUGUGUUGUCAUGUUGGAUCUGGAAUGCGAUGGACUUGUCAUUGAGAUGUUUCAGCAUUUCUUUUCUUUAAGACAAUAGGUAUCAUCUUCUGGCUCAUGAUGCCUUUGUCUGUGUGUUUUUAUUUAUUUUUAAAUUUAUUAUUGUUGUUAUUUUUAUUACUAAAAAUACAAGUUCCAAAUAUUUGAUCUAGUGAACCUUUCUUGUAUUUAUUUUUUUGGUGGCAUUUUUAAUCACGUGGAUACUUAUAUUCUCAAUAAGUAUAUGGUUACUUGAACAUAUCCUUUAUGCAAAAAAGAGGAUCUAGUAUUUGUUGAAA